rnacentral:rRNA from 1 species
UCUUUUCAGAAUUGAGUGGCAAACGGGUGAGUAACACGUAAACAACCUGCCUUCAGGAUGGGGACAACAGACGGAAACGACUGCUAAUACCGCAUAACAAUGGAUGACACAUGUCAUUUAUUUGAAAGGGGCAAAUGCUCCACUACAAGAUGGACCUGCGUUGUAUUAGCUAGUAGGUGAGGUAACGGCUCACCUAGGCGACGAUACAUAGCCGACCUGAGAGGGUGAUCGGCCACACUGGGACUGAGACACGGCCCAGACUCC